GUGUUUGCUUCAGCAGCACAUAUACUAACACUGGAACAAUACAGAGAUCAGUAUGUUCCCUGUGCAAGGACGACACGCAGAUUCAUGAAGCGUUCCGUGUAUUC
ensembl:snRNA U6 U6 spliceosomal RNA